rnacentral:rRNA from 1 species
UACGAAGGGGGCUAGCGUUGUUCGGAAUUACUGGGCGUAAAGCGCGUGUAGGCGGGUCUUUAAGUCAGGGGUGAAAUGCCAAGGCUCAACCUUGGAACUGCCUUUGAUACUGGAGACCUUGAGUCCGGGAGAGGUGAGUGGAAUUGCGAGUGUAGAGGUGAAAUUCGUAGAUAUUCGGAAGAACACCAGUGGCGAAGGCGACUCACUGGACACGUAUUGACGCUGAGGUGCGAAAGCGUGGGGAGCAAACAGG